rnacentral:misc_RNA from 1 species
GAAAUGCGAUAAGUAGUGUGAAUUACAGAAUUCAGUGAAUCAUCGAAUCUUUGAACGCACAUUGCGCCCCUUGGUAUUCCAUGGGGCAUGCCUGUUCGAGCGUCAUUUGUACCUUCAAGCUUUGCUUGGUGUUGGGUGUUUGUCUCGCCUCUGCGUGUAGACUCGCCUCAAAACAAUUGGCAGCCGGCGUAUUGAUUUCGGAGCGCAGUACAUCUCGCGCUUUGCACUCAUAACGACGACGUCCAAAAGUACAUUUUUACACUCUUGACCUCGGAUCAGGUAGGGAUACCCGCUGAACUUAAGC